UUCUUUUAAAAUCUGCCUUGUCAUUAAAAAAAAAUUGUGGUAAAAUACACAUAACAUAAAAUUCACCAUCUUUGCCACUUUUAAGUGUUCACAGUUUAGUUAAUAGUACAUUCACAUUGUUAUGCAGCCAGUCUCCAUAGCUCUUUUUAGUUUGCAAAGCAAAAACUGCCUGUUCAUUUUUGAUAGUCACUUGCGACUUGCUUAUUUUUGUGAUUCUGUCUUUUGCUUCUUUAGCCUUUCUUAUGUAGUUAUUUUAUAGUCAAUAUUUGGUAACUGAAGCGUCUGAAGUCCCUGGUACUUCACAUCUGUUCUUUGCUGUUUCUUUAGUCUCUUGCUUCUGAUACUGUUUCGUUUGCCUGUCUGCUUAACCUUGAUUGCUAGCUCAUACUCGGUUGAUCCUAAUCUGUAGAAAAAGUCUUGGGGCCUAAGUCAAAGAUGCUUUUCUCAGAGUAUUUGCUUUUGCUUUUGCCAGUAGCCACUGAGGGCAUGCUGCUGUCCUGAGACCAUUCCAUUGCCUUCCAGAUGCUGCCAUGUAACCCAGGACUUUUAGUUUAGUUCACACACCCAGCCAUAGAGCUGAGGCCCAGCUUCCCAGAGGUUAUGCAAGAUCACCAUGUGCCCUUAAGGGACCCUUCCCCUUUCUGAGGCUCAUUGCCCAGGGAUUUUUUGGUUCUUAUUCUUUGUUUCUUUUCCUUUUUGUCCUUGUAGACAUUUUUUAAAAUUUCCUCUGAGUCCAACAAAACAAGAAUUGUUUUAAUUCAGAUGCUUGUUUUACAGUAAAACAGUAAGAGUAUUAGUCUGCUAUACUUCUGGAAGCCUGAGCUGAUUUUAAAGGAUCUUUAACAUGGGCACUCCAUGUGCUCCUCUGCUGGGCCCCACCACCUUGCUCAGGCUCAGCCACCUUGCUCAGGCAGCCUUGCUCUACUCCCACGUUGCUCGCAGCUUCUGAUUUUGAGGUCUGCCUCAUCUAGACCCUGCUGGGUCUAUCUGACCCCUUGGAAGAAGUCUCUUGGGAAGGAUGACCUUGGUUGACAUCCCUAUCAUAAAUUUUACAUCUGGAAAUUAAAUUGCCUUUCCUCCACUUCAGAGGGAGAAUGGGGUGCAGGUCCUUCCCAGUGCAAUUUUAGCUAGCCUGUAUCUUCUAGGUGUAUACCAGCUUCCAGUUCAGCAGUCCUCCAAAAUUCUAGGGAAAUUAUAUAAAUUGCUGUGUAUUUCUGCUUUGAAGUUUCUGUCAGUGGACUUGAGAGUAGGCAUCCCAUCCCCACUGUGCUGCCCAACUAUUUGGUGUUGGUGGAAGGAUCAUAACACAGCUGUUUUCCCCUCACAGAAAAACAGAAUUCUCUCUUGAUUUCUGUUGUUCAUUCAGUGGGUAAGGGUUAUAAAAAAUCCUGAAACUAGUUAUGACACAUUAACUUUGAAAAGCUCCUUUUGCAGAGACUUGCACCUCACUUUGGAAAUUUAUAUUUGUUGUUUCUUGGUAACUUAUUUGAAACUUCCAGUUUAAUACCUGUCCAUACAAACAUAGGCAGCAUGUAUUGCCUCCAUCUUGGGGUAGUUUUUUCUCCUUUCCCUGACUCAGGUUGUUUGUAAACAUCAUCUAGAAUGGAAUGGACUUCUCUGUUUCUAUGUUGGCCAGUUGUUUUACUUUUUCAUUACCCUGGAGGUAGCACUUCUUACCCCCUGUGAUUCUGAGAUAUAAAGAUGAUCAGGAAACCAUUACAGCCACUGCAGAGUCAGCAACAACAGAGCAGGGCCUUACACUGUCACUUGGCAUGUUGUUUUAUUUUUUUAAUGCCAUAUGGAUUAACCGUCAUUAUUUGUAUAUAGUUACUCCCCAUCAGGGAGAUGGAGAUUAACUCUCCAUUCCUAUAGCGUGGGGUGCACUUUGGGACUUAGCUCCAAACAGAACAGCAGGGCAAGGAGAGAAAGGAACAUAGAGGUGGAGAAACCUGGCACACAGUUCCUCGGCCUAGUCAUCAGUUCACGUUGACCAUGUGACACCUUGACAGGAGUGGUGAGAAGGGUAUUUCACCUCUGUGACCUGAAAAACCUGUAAUCUUGGUCUACUGAUGAGUGAGAAAAGCAUCAGUCACACCCACAUGGAGGGAUGUUCUACCAAAUGCCUGACAGUGCUUCUCAAGACCGUCAACGUCAUCAAAAACAAGGGACAUCUGAGCAUAGUGUCACCGACCAGGCCCGGCAAAGGAGCCACGACCUUUAAACAUAAUGGGAUGGGUUCCUGGGAUAGAAAAGGACAUUAGGGGGAAAAAGUGAAAUCCAAGGAAAGUGUAGCAUGUAGUUAAUAGUAUCUUACCAGUGUUGCUUCCUUUGUUGUGACAGAUGUAUGUAGUAAUGUCAGUGGUAACAACAGAAUAAACCAAGUGAGGGGUACCUGGAGGGUGACGGGUAUACAAGGGUUCUCUGCACUAUCUUUGUAAAGUUUCUGUACCUCUAAAUCUAAAACUAUUGUAAAAUUCUAUUUAAGUAGAAUUUUAAAAUAUUUUUAAAUAUAAUUAUUUAAGCCAUUUCUCUAAUAGCUCAGAGAACUGAUAUAUAUCUAUAGUUUUAUCUGCAUUUCAGCAACAUCUGUGACCAUCUUUCAGAAGAGAUGAGAAAUUGUGGUGGAAAAGGAAGCCCAGUUAAGCAGGUGGCACUUAGCACAGUGGUUAAGAUAGCCUUUGGGGCCAAAAUGACUGGCUUUGAAGCCCUAUUUUGUUCCUUCUAGCUUUGUGACCUCAGGCAAGUUGACAUUCCUAUGCCUCAGUAUCUCUGCCUGUAAGACGAUCAGCCUAUGUUGAGUGACUAAUGAGGUAACACAUAUAAAGCUUCUCUGGCAUGGGCUACACCGUGUUGUAGCACCAGGACCUUCACUGUUUUUUUUCCAACCUCUUCAAGUGACUAUAAAGGUGACAAGUUUGUGGAUAACACAAAGCUGAGCAAGUCCUAUGAAACUGUUCUUGGAGGCUGGGGUUCAACCAAAGGAGGAUGGAGGGUAUGCUUCCCACAUGAGUUGGGAGUGACUCCUUGACGUGUGUGUGUGGAACCCUUUUGGUGCUCAGAAGAAUACACUUAGUCAUACGCAUUUUGUUUGUUACGCAAAACCGUAUCUGUGAUCUUAAGGACAUGCAUCAUGACUGCCAACAUCAAAGCUUGUUCUUUAGAUCCUGCUGUAUUUCAUGUCAGAUACAUUUUCAUUGUGCUCUUUCAAAGGCACUUCCAGGGUCUCUGCCAGAUCCUGGAAGUGGUCAUCUUCCACUACUGGCAGCUGGGUUCUUGGCUGACUCUUUGUCCAGAUGGGAGCACUGUUGUGGCCUCUGAAUCAAAAUUAGCCCUUUUUUCCCCAGUGCGCCUUUGCUAACUUACCUUGGAUUUGGAAGAAAUGAGAACUUGCUAUUUUCUUUAAAACAACACCAGCUAUAUUCAGAUAUAAUUCACAUACCAUACACCUCAUCUAUAUAAAGUGUACAAUUCAAUGGCUUUAGUAUAUUUACAGAGUUGUGGAACCAUCACCACAAUUUUAGAACAUCUUCACGACCCUACCAGUAAACUCUCACCAGUGGUGUAUGAGGGUUCUAGUUUCUCCAUAGCCUAAGACUUUUUACUAUGUGUCUUUUUGAUAUAGGCAUCCUAAUGCUAUGUGUGGUGGUGUCUUAUUGUGGUUUUGAUUUGCAUUUCCCUAUUGACUUAAGAUGUUGAGCACCUUUUUAUGUCCUUAUUUGCCAUUUAUCUUUUUUAGAGAAAUGUCUAUUGAGAUCCCUUCCUUUUUUUUUUUUUUUUUUUAUGGAGUCGCACUCUGUUGCCCAGGCUGGAGUGCAGUGGCGUGAUCUUGGCUCACUGCAGCCUUUGCCUCUCAGGUUCAAGCUCUUCUCCUGCCUCAAUCUCCUGAGUAGCUGUGAUUAUAGGCACCCACCACCAUGCCUGGCUAAUUUUUGUAUUUUUAGUAGAGAUGGGGUUUCACCAUGUUGGCCAGGCUGGUUUGAACUCCUGACCUCAACUGAUCCACAUCCCUUGGCCUCCCAAAGUGCUGGGAUUACAGGCAUGAACCAUUUGCUCAUUUUAAAAUAGGUUUUCUUUUUAUUAUUGAGUUGUAUUUGGUGUAUAUUUCAGGUAUAAGUCCCUUAUCAGAUACAUGAAUUACAGACGUUUUCUCCCAUUCUGUCUGUAUCUUUUCACUUUUUUGAUAAUGGUUUAAUUUUGAUGAAAACUUUUGUCUUUAGUAUUUGUACUUUUGGUGUCAUAUCUCAGAAGAUUUUGCUAAUCAAGGACUAUUUUUUCUAAGAGUUUUAUAGUUUUAGCUCUUACAUUUAGGUCUGUGAUUUAUUUUGAGUUAAUUUUUGUUCAUGGUACAAGGAAGGGAUUUCUUGCAUUCCUGCUAAGUGGUCUGUAAUUUUGGUAGAAGCUAUGCAGUGGGUAUACGUGACUAGUCAAGAACAAAAAAAGUCUUUGAUACUGAGUGCCUAAUGAGCUGCCCUGGCCAGACCAUUGCACCUAUGUGGCUGUUUCAUCAUUCAGAAUUGCUAAUUAAAGGUCAGCUGUUCACUUAACCAACAAGGUUUAUACGUUUUUUUCUAAAAUGUAUGUAAAUAUUGUUUUUUUCUUGGAGGCUUUUUAUUUUUAACUGGGUCUAAAAAACUAGUUUGGAGCAUGUUCAGGAAAAAAAUACACAUAGCACGGUAUGUCUGAAAGAGCAUGAACUUAGAGUGCAGAAGACCUGUGGGAAAUCUUAUACCUUCCAUUUACUAGUUAUGUUCCUUGGGGACAUGCUUCCUCUAAGCCUCAAUUUCCAGCAAAAUUGGUGAGAGGAAUCCAUGAAAUCAUGCUUAUAAAAUGCUUAGUAUGCCAUUUCUUGGCAUAUCUUAGUUACUCAGUAAAUGAUUACUAUUUUUGUAGUUGAUACUAAAACUGCAGCCAUCAUUCAUUUUUCUCCUGUGUGGUCCCUUUUAUGAUGCCCCUAUGUGAAUAUGCCUUGGGUCAGUCUUUUUCUCAGAAAGUUAACGUCAUUUUAUUUUCUAGCUAGGGUGAUUUACUCAAGCUAUUUGAGAGUUGCAGUCUCCUAAGUUUUCAGAGUGAGUUCCCAAGGGAACCAUGAAGAAUAAUAGUUUAUCUUGAUUCCAGGAAAGACAGUUGCUGAGAGAUUCAUGGAAUACAUGUUUGCAUUUCUUUCGAGAGCGGCUCACAAAUUAUGUUGGGUUAUAAAUGCUGGUUGCUUCUUUGCCAGCAAAGAAACUUCGUUGGAGUAUUUCAGCUUUCUAGUGAAGACAAAGAUUUUUUGACAAGAUGGGAAAGACUUUACAAGAUUGUGGGGAGGUAGCAUUGCAUUUAAACCAACAGCAAGAAAUUGGUGAGAAAAAAAGAUGUGACAUUCAGAAAAGGAAGGACAAACAGCACCAAUAGAGAACCACAGAUUCCAUGCUGCUGUGGGGGGGUUGAGGGAGUUAAUAAUACUGGUAGUAAUACUGGUAAUAAUAAUUGGUCUUGAGCGUUUAUCAUGUGAUAUGUGUAAAUGCUAUGUGCUUUAAUCAUGCCUAUAGUCAUUGAAUAGGCACAGAGAUUGCAGCGAGCGGAGUUGAGAGUUGAAGAGAUUGAAUAACUAAUUCUGUGGUCAUAUAGCUAGUAAAAGGCAGGCCUAGGAUAUGAAUUGAGUAUGGCUAGAGGUUUUUUUUUCUUUUUUUUUGAGACAGAGUCUCGCUCUGUCACCCAGGUUGGAGUGCAGUGGUGCAAUCUCAGCUCACUGCAACCUUUGCCUUCUGGGUUCCAGCAAUUCUCCUGCCUCAGCCUCAUGAGUAGCUGGGAUUAUAGGUGCCUGCCACCAUAUCUGGCUAAUUUUUGUAUUUUUAGUAGAGAUGGGGUUUCACCAUGUUGGCCAGGAUGGUUUUGAACUCCUGACCUCAGGUAAUCCGCCCAUCUCAGCCUCCCAAAGUUCUGGGAUUACAGGCGUGAGCCACCACAUCUGACUCAGUGUGGCUGAAGUUUUCAAUAGAAAUUGUUUUCUCUUUUGAAUAUGGGAGACCUGAGACCCCAUCAGUCCUAUGGAGUGCUUUACCAUUUCUUUAGCUUUACCUAGGGAACCAGCUGUUCAAAAAACCAGACACUUUUCAGAGAAAAUGGGCUUCUGUUAGAUUUUACCCGAUGGCAGACAGUAUAUGCCCUAGGUGAACCAGAAAAGUGUGGUUGCCUGUAGAUGAGAGUUUUAAAACAGUACUAUUUGGAGCUCUACCCACAAAAAAGGAUAUAGCCUUAUUUAGAACAGAUGGUUUGGAGUAAACGAAUGACAUGGAGAAAACAGAACUGCUCAACUUCUAUUUUGAUUUUAUCAUCUUUAUCAGGAAAAAUGAUCUUUAAGUUGGGAAGGGUAGAAUAAACAUGGUUAGCAGAUAUUAAAACCCAAGAUAGAAGAGAUAAUGAGAAUGGCUAAAAAAUGCCUUUAUGUCUCCUGGGCACGGAAGGAACUUGCAGAUGUGAUUGUGGAACCACUUGAGAUAAUAUUUUGUGAAUCAAGGAGAAUAGGAUACCGGAAGAUUGUAAAUGAUUUCAACAAACAUGUCCCUGUUUUCAAGGGGGAAAGCAUGGUUUAGAAACUGCAGAUGGGUUAGCUUAAGUCAGUUUCUGAGGAAUUCUAGAAGAACUAUUAAGCAGAUGUUUAUGAACAUAUAAUAAAGCAACAGUGAGUAAUGGGAGACAAAAAGGAUACUCUAAGAACAAGUCUUUUUCUUGUUUAGAUGGGAUCAUUCAUCUGAUACAUGAAGGGAAUGCCAGAUAGAGAGUGAAUAUUGAUUUCAGCCAGCCACUUUGAGAGUCUCUGGUGUCACAGACAAGAUGGAGAAAUGUGACUGGGGUGAUUAUACAGUUUGAUGAGUUUAUAUUUGCUGCCACAACCAUUGUGUGUGUUUAUUUAUUUAUUAUUAUUAUUAUUUUUUGAGACAGGGUCUUACUCUGUUGCCCAGGCUAGAGUGCAUGAUCAUAGCCUCAUUGUAACCUUGAACUCCUGGCUUCAAUCAAUCUUUCCUCCUCAGACUCUCAAAGCUCUGGGAUUAUAGGUGUGAGCCACUGUGCUGGGCCUGCAACCAUUUUUAAACUGGGUGAUGAAUGGAUUGAUCAACUAACUAUAGUCUCUGGGACAAAAUAACCUGUUUGUUUUUAUAAAUAAAGCUUUAUUGGAACACAGUCGUGCCCAUUUGUUUAUGUAUUGUUUAUGGCUGCUUUCAUGCUAUAGUAGCAGAGCUGAACAGCUGCUUUGGAGACCAUUUAGCCCAUGAAGCCUAUAAUAUUUGCUUUCUGGCUCUUGAACAGACAAAGUUUGCUGACCUCUGGCCUAGGCAGAACACUUGUUCUCAGCCUGCUGUACAUUAGAAUCACCUAAAGCAUUCUUACUAAUGCCCAAGCAUCUUUUCUCCCUAGCCCCUCCAACUAAAUCAGAAUCUGAGAUUAAGCCUGGCUUUUUUUUUUUUUUUAAGAUUCCUGGGUGAUUGUAAUGUGAAGUCAGAGCUGGAGACCACUGGCUAGGAGGGAGGGUGCUAGUGGGGAGUCCAGCAAGGGACUGGGCCCCAUCUUGUGUUUUCUAUGAGGGUUAAUUAUAUACUGUGCAAUCCAAUCUCUGGAUGACACAGAGGAAGAGGUGGACAUGGCUAUUUAGAUGACAGGGUAAGAACUGUAAAAUUUGUGGCCCUAAGGUAACAAGAUGAUGUUGGUAUAGUAAAAAAUGUAAAGGCCUUUCCCUAAGUACUAAAAAUUCUCUUGUAGAAGUAUCAGGUGGUGAUUUGGCCAUACACAGUGAAAUGCAAGUGAAAAUGAGUUAAGGGUUAGCUGCAAACUCAGUAUUAGCCAACAGUAUGUGAUAACUAGAAAACCCAAAAUGAGACAAAACCAACAAUAACAACUAAGGCAAUCUCAGCCUAUAUUAACAUAAUUACAGUGAAAGCAAGGAUAAAAUUUCUACUGUAUCUACUCAGGUCAAAUCUCACCUGUUGGAGAAAUGCUUUUUGCAGGUGGGAAUGCAACUGGUUCAGCUUUGGAGUGACCUGGGGUAGUGCUUCCCAAGAAACUAACCUCUAUUCCCCAGAGAGCAGGGUGAGCUGCCACAGUGGGUAGUGUAACCUUGUCUCUGAGAGGUGUGCAAGGAGGGAUCAGAUGGCCAUUUGGCAGGGGUUAGAAAUGAAUGUUCAUCUUUGGGGAUUGUAUUAGGAUUCUCCAGGGAAAUAGAACCAAUAGGAUGGAUGGAUGGAAAACAAUAUAUGUAAAGCCUUAUGAUAAGGAAGUGGCUCAUGUGAUUAUGGAGGUCGACAAGUUCCAAGAUCUGCAGAAUGAGAUUGGCACACUUGAGAUGCAGGAGAGCCAGUGGUGUGAGUUCCAGUUCAAAGGCUGUCAGGCUUGAGACCUAUGAAAAGCCAGUGUUUCAUUUUGAGUCCUCAAACAGGGAAAAACUGAUGUUGCAGCUCAAGGCAGUCAGGCAGAAAGAGAUUCCCCCUUACUCUAGGAGGGUCUGCCUUUUGGUUCUGUUCAGGCUUUCAGCUGAUUGGCUGGAGCCUACCCAUGUUAGGGAGGGCAACCUACUUUACUCAGAUUGAAAUGUUACUUCUCUCCGGAAACAGCCAGAAUAAUGUUUGACUAAAUGUCUGGCACCCCAUGGCCCAGCCAAGAUGACACAUAAAAUCAGCUGUCACAGUGAUCAUCUAAUGUAACUUCUUCAUUUUGUGGAUCAGAAAACAGAGUCACAGAGGAUGUGUUUCCCAAGGUGCCCCCGUUUGGUCAGUGGCCAAGGUAGCUCUAGGAUGAUUAGGUCUCCUCAGUCCACAGCCCUGUGUUCUCUUCCUGCCACACUGUUUAGUAGAUGUAGAGGUUAUGUUAAUGACCUCUGCUGCCCUCUCCAGCCCUCAGAAUUAGACUGACUGUUAAACGAAAUGGAAGAUGUUGUUUUCCAGAAGGAGAUGCCUUAAACAGGAUGGAGAACUGCAGUUCACUGGGAGUGUAGUGCUUGAUUUUGAGGAGACCCUUACCCAGAUACAGAGGGGUCAGCGUAAACCCAGUUGAUGUCCACUGUCUUAUGUACUCGGAUUCUGAGCUCUUCCUUUUAUACACAAACACUCUUCAGGCCCCUUCAAAGCCCCAAAUACUACUUAAUCCUUUAAUGCUGUUGCUGUCAAAAGGAUGAGGAAGAUGGAUGUCAGGCAGAUUUCAGGCUGGCGUGCAUAAUUAGAUGAGUGCAGGGCCACCAUGCGGGGCCACCAUCUGAAGCUCUGUGGGGGAGUUUCCUUUGUGCUCUCUGCAUAUGGUCUCCUCUUGUUGCAUCAGCAGAUGAUUCAGCCAGAAAGAUGAAGACACUCAAAGGGACACUACUUUUGGAUAUGGCUCAUCAUAAUAGGCUAAGCCCCCACCCUAUGUCCAAGACGAUUCUAGAUGCUUCUAAUACAUUAUUAUUCCUGGUCUAAAAGACAACUGUGCAAGCUACACAUUAUCAUCCCCAUUCCAUAAAUGAGAAGACUGAGCUCUGGAUGUGUUUUCUUCACAGUGGAGGAAAAUGAUAUUGAUUGACAGGAAGCAAGAAUACAGUUAUUAGAAGACCACUCUCAGAGUCAACUCUCAGGUACUGUCAAACGGCAACAUUUGAAAUUCCACAGUGGCUAACACACUGACACCCAACACAGUUCAAGUGUUGUAUAAAUAAAGUCAACAGGCUGACUUUUGAGUAAAACAUAAUUUUUCAACUGCUGCCAAGAGGAAGAUAAUUGAUGAUAAAAGGUAAACAUGAAUGACUUUUUGAUUACCUGUUGUUUUAGAUUAUCUCAGCUUCUCUUCAUCAUUACUGCAAAGUCUUCAAAGCUAUGCAAAGUAAACUCUUAGGAUCAAUUUCCCCCUCUCCACUUCCCCUCUUGUCAUAUUUCCCCACACCUUUUAACAGAAGGGGAAGUCAGGAAUUAGUUGCUUCACUUUCUAAUUAUUACAAGUGUGUUAAACAAAAUCACUGAUAAGAGCCUCACACGUUGCAGGUGCGCAUGCCUGAGCUCCUACUGGAGAAGGCGGCUGGGCUGGAGGAAGCAUGAGCAGGUGCAGUGCCCUGUCCCACCCUGCCCCACCCUUCCCCUGCAGGAGUCCUCAUUAGUGAAUGGGCUGAGAGUGGCCUGGGCAGUGUUCUGUAUGUACAGAUACAAUAUUUUUAGGCUCUAAAACAGUAUGAUUUGGCAAAUGGACCUGCCAAGUUGAAUCACAAUCUCUAAACCCAAGAGCAUUUCCCGGGUUCCUCUGGAGUAGUUCCUUUGUUUGGGUAGGGGAGGAGUGGAGACAGACCCUGGACAUAGAGUGGGGACAAGGAGUGUAUGCGGUGUGAAAGUUUGCUUUAAUAUGGGAUCCUUAUGGAUCCAUUCUAAGUCAGGGUAGUCCUGGAAGGCAGGAUAUGGUCAGCUCCAGGUAGGUCCCAAGCAUACUGGGUCAUUGCCCUUCCAUAAAUCCAUGUUGUCGAAGGGGUGGGAUGGGAGACAAGGUAGAAGAUCUGGAGCUACUUCUGCCUUUUUCUUUUUAACUUCACAAUGUAAGUUUUGUGGAUUUUUGAAAACACAAAUAGAAAUCUUAAUCAUAUUCUUUCUCCUAUUAAAUGAAUUUUAAUGCUGCAAUUUUAAAAUGGAUUGAGUGGCAUGGCUGCUCAUCCCUGGGUUAAGGUUCUUUGGUAAAACUAAUUCAUACGUGAAGUACAAAAUAAACAUGAAAAUAGCAUGCCAAUGAGGGAAGGAAAUGAAGACUUCAUACAGCAAGCUCCUUCUGUUGUCUGUUUCCUUCCUCCCCCUUCCCUCUGCAGUCCUUCUCUCAAGCCUGCGAUGAACAUCCUGAGGCUCUUUGAAAAUCCAUUUGUGUUUUUGGUUGAAUGCACCCUAGGUCUUGAAGACUCACAGGCUAGAGAAGUAUUGAUUGCAUUUAAGGGUCCAUUACUUAGGUAAACCAAAUAAUGUAACUGAUCUUGGCUUUAAUUGAUCAAAUCUCUCCCACAGUGUUGGAAAGAUUGUAAUCUAAUUACUCUGGUUCCUGGUUUCUAAGGUGAAGGUUACAUUUUGCUGAAACUUAGCCUGCUUCAGUAACCUCUCCUUAUCUGGGCUGUCCCUUUUUGAAACACAUACACAGUGUAUGUUGUCUAUCUGUGAACUCAGAAGUACACACACAGGUGGACACUUAGCUGUCCAUGUAGAGCCCCUGUGAAUUUUAAUUUAGACUCUAUAUUGACAGUAGGUAAGAAAUGUGAGCCAUGCUAGUUUUUUCAUCUUAAUUCUUUACAGCUUGGGAAAGGGGACUAGCAAGAUGCUCCUGUCUAAUCAGGUUCAAUACCAGCCUCUCUUGUUUCUCCUAACAAGCUUGGCCUCAUCCUAAUUCUUUCCUUUUCUGGAGAUAGAAGAUCUAUUUUGAGCCUCAGAACAUUGCAAGUGCAGUAUGUUUGAAGACUGAGUUGAAAGCUGCUGAGCUGCUGAUUUAUCUGCAGAUUGGCUACCCUGUUAACUAGUUCUUCAUGGAAGCGCCUCGACAUCUUCCUGGGAGCUGUUGCAUGGGCUCAGCUCAGAUUCUCCAGCUCUCUUUCAAAAUACCCCUUUACCUCCUUUAUUAAGGCUGGUCUACUCCGGAGGUUAAAAUCCAGGGCUAGGGUGGCAGUGGGUGCGCUUUUAAACAAAGGAGCUUGAUAUCUGCCCUAACCAGCAGGAUAACCACAUUUAAAGAAGACUACCUGAAUGACUAUUUGAGUUGGAAGAAAUGGGCUCUGCCAUGGGGAGAAAUCAGGACUCUAGUAAAUAACUUCCCCAGCAUUCCUAAAAAUGACAUAGGGUGCUAGAAAGCUUUAUGUCAUUCAUGGGGAUUAGUGGAGAGCAUGUUGGGCAGUUUCUCUGUCUGAGUAGGGGAGGAUGGGAGACAGGAAACCUGGAAUGUGGCAUUCUUCUGGCAGGUCUUCUUUCUGCAGGACUUCCCUUGUUGGCUGUUACUCUACAUUAGUCAACAGCAGCAUCCGCAGAAGAGGUUGUCAGCAUCAGCUGCUGCGUGGAAAUUGGUGCAUCAGUCAAGCCCAUCUGCAUCUGCAGGAGCAGUGUGGAAAUGUGAAGCAGGGACUGCUGGGAGAUGAGGGGUAAUGAUCUGCCUUUCAGGGUGCUUGGGGAUUUCUUUUGGUCAGACAAAAUCCUACAUGCCCUGACAUUUACUUUCCUUUAAGAAAGUAUGUUUUUGCAAGUACACAGUGCUAUGUAGUAGACCUUAUAAAGGAUCUUAAAAUUGAAACACUCUGCAGAUACAGCUUUUCUAGACAACAAGUACAAGAACUCUCACCUAAGCUGGCAAGAUGUCUGUGUCUUUUUACAAGAAACAUCUUGGUGUUCUGUGGCAUGGAUUCUUUCUGGGAUCUAAGAACAGGAAUACUCAGUCCAGGAGUUUAAGACUACAGCGAGCUAUGAUUGUGCCACUGCACUCUAGCCUGGGUUACAGAGCAAGACCCUAUCCCAAAAAUAAAAAAUAAGUAAAAUAAAACAUGAGAAUGUUUAUGUGACAGUGUGAAGAACGUGUUUCAUGGGAAUGUUUUGAGAGACAGCCGUGAAGCCAUUUGCAAGUGUAACUGUGAUUUUUUUUUUUUUCCAAGGUAGAGUAUUGCUCUGUUGCCCAGGCUGGAGUGCAAUGGCAUGAUUUUGGCUCACUGCAACUUCUACCUCCUGGAUAUUUACAUCCUGGGUUCAAGUGAUUUUCCUGCCUCAGCCUCCUAUGUAGCUGGAAGUAUAGGCAUGUGCCACCAUGCCCAGCUAAUUUUUGUAUUUUUUGUAGAGAUGGGGGUUCACUAUGUUGGCCAGGCUGACCUUGAACUCCUGACCUUGUGAUCUGCCCACAUCAACUUAGCAAAGUGCUGGGAUUACAGGCAUGAGCCAUCAAGCCCAGCCACAUAACUGCCAUUUUAAUGGGUUUAACAUUAAUGCUAGAAAGCUUACAUUCAGAGCAGGGCAGUAAUGUUUCUUAAAGGUUGGGUGUAAGAUGUUGUAUGAGGAGUACUCUUAGUUUGGCCUCCCACUCUGCCCAUUGGAUUACUUAUAUUUUCCUAACUCUGAUUUUUAAAAGUUUCAAGUGUAUAAAAAAGUUGAAAAACAUGUCGCCAUGACAUGGGAGAAUAGUCAUUACUCCCAUUCUGACAUAUUUGCUCGAUACUCACUUUAUUUUCUGAACAUUUGAAAGACUCUUUCAGGUCAUGACAAUUCAUCCCUAAACAUUUCUAGUGUAACUCCUAAGACUUGUUUAUUCUUUUUUUUUUUUUGGUACUUUUUUUUUUUUUUUCUUUUAGUAGAGAUGGGGUUUCACCAUGUUGACCUGAAUGGUCUCGAUCUCUUGACCUUGUGAUCUACCCGCCUUGGCCUCCCAAAGUGCUGGGGUUACAGGUGUGAGCCACCACGCAUGGCCAAGACUUGUUUAUUCUUUUACACAGUCUAUUGCCAUUAAAACAUCAGGAAAUUUUAACCUCAAUAUAAUAAUAUCUAGUGGUCAAUCCAUAUUAAAAUCUCCCCAAUUGUCUUAGUAAUUUUUCUUAUGGCCAUUAUUUUCUGAAGUCUGAAAUCUAGCCAGAGAUCACACAUGAUGUUUAGUUGUCACAUCUCGUUAGCCUUAUUUUAAGUCUAUAAUAGUCCUCCAGCUUUUUCAAAGUCUUUUUGUGACAUGUAACAUCUUGAAAAGUCCAGGCUAGUUCUUGUUCUUGUGGAAUGUCCCCCAAUCCCAAUUGUUUCCUCCUGUGAGAUGCGAGGAUAUCCCAUCAGGACAGAGUGACCUUCCCCUGUGGCACCACAGGAAGUACAGGGUGUCAGUCUGUCCCUUUUGUGGUGAUGUGUGGUCACAUGAAUAAGGCAGUGGCCACCAGAUUUCUCUGUGCUGUCAGGUUCUGUCUUCCUUUUGUGGUUAAGGGGCUUGUGGGAUGAUCUUUUGAGACCAGUGAACAUCCUGUUCCCAGCAGUCUUUAACAGAAUGACCUUUGCCUGAAUUGGUUAUUGCUUUGGUAGUUACUGUGCCCCAAUAUUUAACAAAAACAAAAGGCAGUUAUACUUUGGAAGCCAGAGAAAUGACUCCAGAGAGGAAAAAAGCCACAUCUUUUAAAAUUUAAUAAAACAAUUUACCUUUUAUAUAUUAAAGUAAGAUUUUUAAAUUUGUAAGUGUGCGUAUCAAUAGGAUUUGAUGAAGUAGGAUUUGAAAUUUAUGAGUGUGAAUAUCAAUAAAGAAAUUCUGUAAUUUUAGUUAUAGAUUUUUAAAGGUUGUACUUACACAUUUCUACAUUUUGCACACUGUAUCUUAAAAUUUGCAUUAAAAAUUUCCAGAGCUGAAA